GAGGUUCUCACCGAAAGAUAAAAUAUUUGAACAUGAUCUUUCAAGAUGAACAGGAAGACCAAAUAAAAGCUAUUGUUUACGGUGAUGAAAUCUCCUCUUAUCAAGAUAUAUUCAAGCUGUUCCACACCUAUUUGAUAAGGGGUG